rnacentral:rRNA from 1 species
AACGUAGGAGCCUAGCGUUAUCCGAAUUUACUGGGCGUAAAGCGCGUGUCGGCGGUUAGGUAAGUUGGCUGUGAAAUCUCCCGGCUCAACUGGGAGAGGCCGGUCAAGACUGCCUGGCUUGAGGCUGGUAGAGGGAGGUGGAAUUCCGGGUGUAGUGGUGAAAUGCGUAGAUAUCCGGAGGAACACCAGUGGCGAAAGCGGCCUCCUGGACCAGACCUGACGCUCAGACGCGAAAGCUAGGGGAGUGAACGGG